GACGACGGCGUAUAGUCAAGCAAAGGCAUCGUCGCCAGAAAUAUUGGAAUCCUUGUGCUUGCCAAUGUCGUAUUUGUCGUACUUCUAACAGAUCGAAUCAACUCUGGUCAGAAUGUCGACGAUGCUCAUGAUUUUACCAGGUACUGGCAUAAAUCAACGGCGUUAAUUAAUAAUCGGUAAUGUACAUCCGCAAAGAAAAUAGCCGAGAUGACGCUUGAUGGAAAACAAAGGUUCAGGCGUCCAGGAUCUGCGAUGACGACGACAAGAUGAGAGGGUAGGACAAUCAACUGCUUUAGCUACUGCUACGGGUACUAGCUUACAAGUUUGCUUAUUGCUUUCACUUAAAAGUUAGGAGUUCUAUUUAAUCACAAUCUCCUAUUUUUUCAAUUUUUUUGAAUACUGAUUUCUGCUAUCAAAUUAUUUCAGAGAUCAGCAUAUCCAUAAAAAUUUCAAUCUGGUUUCUGCUUACUAAUCCUUGAAAAAAUGAUUUGCUAUAAAUAUUUGAUUUAGUUUCUAUUUUUCAUUUGUACUUGCAUGUUGCGUCCCCAUUUAGCUGAUUCAUCAGAUAACAUAUCUAUUGUCUUUAUUGUUGAAAAGAUUAUUUCACUAAUUAACUGGCGUUUAUACCGUUUAUAAAUUAUAAAUGAAAGUUAGUCACCUCAAUGUGGUCCAUUUGACUUUUGUUGGAAUUAUAUGAAUGGAAUGCUUGCUAUAGACAAAGUUUUGGGUUUAUAUUUGUCAUUUGUGCAUCUUGGAGAAGCACUGAUAAAAUUCUUGCUGAAUUGAAGGUAAACUGGAAUUCAUGAUUUAAGUUGAUUAAAAUUGGUUGAUUCUCAUCUCAUGUUUAUCCUACAUUGUAUGUGAAAGGAUGAAAGUGUGAAUCUCUUACUAGACCAAAAUUAUUGAUAGGUUAAAAUAAAGUGCAUACUUUUCUUGCCUUAUUGGGCCAUAUUUAUAUGGAAACUUAGUCUAUUUUGUCAACAACUGGUGAUCAAAGGAAUUUAUGUUAUGACUGAUUGGGUGUAUCAGCUUGUGUCACAUUUUGAUAUCUCCCCAAAAUUUUUUAUUAUUUGAUUCGUUUUUUAAUUUCUAAACCUACUUCCCUAGGUUGAUUAUGCCUGUAAUCUGCACAUUCUUUUCGAAAGAUUGGUCAUGUGUGCUUUGAGAAUAAUACAUUUCAAGUUGUUAUAGACUGCCUUAUCGUAAAUUUGUCAUUGUUAUGUAAUUAAAAUAUGUAGCAGAGAUAAAUACUGUGGGAAGGCUUGUGAUGGGGUGAUGUUGUAGAAACAUGCAGUAGAAAGAAAUAUUGUGGCUACUCUAAUGUAGUUAAAAAUAAAAAUAAAAAUAAAAACUUCUGUACAUAAUUUUAAGUUUACAACUCUAUUGGCUAUAAGAUAUGGCACUUCAGAUUUUAUUAUGUGCAAGUUCUAAUUUUAGUUUCAAUUUUUGUUACAAGAAACCCUCAAGUACCAAUGACGUGCUAGCAGUGUCUUCUGAAGCACGUGUCUGAUCCAAUGCAGAUUCAACGGUGAUAUCCCAACCCACUUCAGGAGCUAAAUUGAUAAAGCUGGAAUAUAAUUAUAAAUAAAAUAAUUAGUCAUAUAUAAUUAUAAAUUUUAACACUUCCAUAAUUUUUUCACUUUUAUUUUCUUUAUAAUAUAAACAUAAAAUAAGUUCAGUUGUAUUGGCUUCAGUCAUUUGAUGAACUCAAAAACUGAGGAAUUGUUGACUUUUUCUGUCACUUUCUAGCGAUAUAAUCUAUUUUACCCUGCAAUUUAAAUUUUAAGCUCAUCUUACAUCCUAGAUGUUUCCGCUUGCCUUCUGUUUUUUUAUUUCUAUUUUUUUUUUCAUGUGAGAUGGUGGGGCUGCAGGGCUGUUCCUUGCUUGCAAGAAAACAAAAUGAAACUUUUUAGUUAGCUUUGUCCAGGGGGUAUUGUUGUUAUUCCCUUUUCCACGGACUGAUAUUAUGUUACUCUUAUAACACGCAAUGCCCAUCCCAACUCCACCACGCCAACUCUGUCCUUUUUUUUUUUUCCAGGGCAAGUCAAGUCACAGAGUCUAGGUAUCUAGAUCUACAAUGUUACCCAAUUUUCUUUAAUGUUACCAAGUUACUGGUAUAUCAGAGAUUCAUCUUACAACAAUUAUAGUGUAAAUUGACAGCCAGGUUGGGGUUGUGACUAUGUACCAUAUUUUUUUACCAUAAAUAAGAGUUGAUAAAUGUUAUAA